CGCGUCGCCGUCGCCGUCGCCGUCGCCGUCGCCGUCGCCGUCGCCGUCGCCGUCGCCGUCGCCGUCGUCGUCGUCGUCCCGGUGUUCGAGCAGCGCCGCGGCGGUUUCCCUCUAUUGAUCGAAUUUGACCUGCGAAGUUUCCCUUAACGCGUGUGUGCAGUACAGUGGCGGCCGGUAGUGACUCUUUCGCGCUCGUGUUUCCGAGUCCGGUAGUGCGGUUUAAUUGCGAGCAGCCUCGGUAUGUCUUUGCCAACGGCUUGCACGCGGUUCAGUGACAAUUACGAUCUAAAGGAGGAACUCGGCAAAGGUGCCUUCUCCGUGGUUCGACGAUGUGUCCAAAAAAGCACCGGUCACGAGUUUGCUGCAAAAAUCAUAAACACCAAAAAACUUUCCAACAGAGAUUUCCAAAAGCUUGAGCGUGAAGCGCGGAUAUGUAGAAAACUGCAACAUCCAAAUAUUGUAAGAUUACAUGACAGUAUACAAGAAGAGAAUUUCCAUUAUCUUGUCUUUGAUCUAGUCACCGGCGGAGAACUGUUCGAGGACAUCGUCGCCCGGGAAUUCUACAGCGAGGCGGACGCCUCGCACUGUAUUCAACAAAUUCUGGAAAGCGUUCACCACUGCCAUCAUAACGGAGUUGUGCACCGGGAUUUGAAACCUGAAAAUUUACUCCUCGCGAGUAAGGCGAAAGGAGCGGCUGUGAAAUUAGCAGAUUUUGGUUUGGCGAUCGAAGUGCAGGGUGAAGCGCAAGCAUGGUAUGGUUUUGCUGGAACGCCCGGCUACCUCAGUCCGGAGGUGCUGAAGAAGGAGCCAUACGGGAAACCAGUCGACAUAUGGGCGUGCGGUGUCAUAUUGUACAUCCUUCUGGUCGGUUACCCACCUUUUUGGGACGAGGAUCAACAUCGGCUCUACGGGCAGAUCAAGGCCGGAUCGUACGAUUAUCCGAGUCCAGAAUGGGACACUGUCACGCCGGAAGCCAAGAAUCUUAUCAAUCAAAUGUUGACGGUGAAUCCAGGAAAGAGAAUCACUGCCCUCGAGGCACUGAAGCAUCCAUGGAUUUGCCAACGUGAGCGUGUUGCAUCUGUAGUGCACAGACAAGAGACCGUGGAUUGUUUGAAGAAAUUCAAUGCAAGGCGUAAGUUAAAGGGCGCUAUAUUGACGACCAUGCUGGCGACGCGAAACUUUUCCAGUAAGUAUGAUACACAGGGUCGAAGCAUCAUCACAAAAAAGGGCGAUGGUUCUCAAGUGAAGGAAUCUACCGAUAGCAGUACAACGCUUGAAGACGAUGAUAUUAAAGAGGAUAAGAAGGGCGGCGUCGACCGGAGCAGCACGGUCAUUGCCAAAGAACCCGAAGGUACACCUUCGAGCAGCUCCGCGACAAUGUCCGCAUUCCCCAGGGCGGUUGGCGCGGCUACAACUAUGACGAACAAAUUGGCUUCAAACCAGACCCAGACCCAGACCCAGACCCAGAUUCAGAGUACGGGCAACCCUCUCGGAAUUACCGCGGUUCUUCUUCAAGGGGCCCAAGCUGGCAACACAGGAGGUGGUAGCAGCAGCAGUAGCAGCAACAACAGCCAGAACAGCCAGGUCGGCGUGUCGCCAUCGUCGCCGGCCAGUAUCAUCCACCAAGCGAAUGGCAGCAACGAACCGAUAGCAUUGCGACGUCAGGAUUCCUCAUCCACUGCACGCCGACAGGAAAUCAUUAAGAUGACCGAGCAGUUGAUCGAGAGCAUCAACACCGGAGAUUUCGAGGCAUACACGAAAAUCUGUGAUCCACAUCUGACCGCGUUUGAACCGGAGGCUCUAGGUAAUUUAGUCGAGGGAAUGGAUUUCCACAAAUUUUACUUUGAUAAUGCAGUCCUGGGGAAAAACUGUAAGGCUGUCAAUACGACGAUCCUGAAUCCCCAUGUCCAUUUGCUCGGUGAGGAUGCCGCUUGCAUCGCGUAUGUCAGGCUGACGCAGUACAUGGACAAACAAGGCGUAGCGCAUACCCAGCAGAGCGAGGAAAGCCGUGUGUGGCACAAGAAGGACAACAAGUGGCAGAACGUGCAUUUCCAUCGAAGCGCGGUGACGGGCCCAUCCCCGUUCUCCUUCAAUCACAAAUAAAUCGGCCAAGAGGAUUGUCCUGCUGCCGUUCUCGUCAGCGCGGAAAAUUCGCGUGGUACGAUCUCAACAGGUCAUCUGCGCUGUGCGCUCCCUUCAACUUCAACUGCUUCGGAGUUCGGAGCAGACAAACAGCUGACAAUAAGAGAUCGCAUAUGCAUCUAUACAUACGUAGCUAUGAUACAAUCGCUGUGGCUAGGGGGCGCUAAUAUACAUAAUAAGGCAUCAAAAUGUAAACUAUAUAGAUAUACUAGGAGAAAAACGCACGCGCACGCACAGCAUAAUUUUUUUAGACUGCAUGUACGGUUAUAUUGUGACAAUUGUAUUAAAAAUACUCAAAAAUCCAAAUACACAUAUACUUACGUCAUAAUAAUCAUUAUCUCACAAAACUAAAGAUUUUUUUUCACUAUUUUUGUUUAUAGAAAAUUACUAAAUAAAAUUAUAGAUUUUUGCUGCACGAUUAAAACAUUACAUUUAUAAAAAGUAUAUAUAUGUAAUAAUUAUGAAUAUUAGACAAUUUCUUCUAAUGAUAGAUAUGUUAUUAAAUACUAGUAUGUGUUGAAAAUAAUUUAUAGUCAAGAUAAUUAUUUUCUGAUUGGUAUCUCUUACGAUAGUUUUGUGGAAGAUCUAGUAUAAAUUUUGAAAUUUCAAUCCGCUCUCGUCGAGAAACUUUCGGACGCAUCGUUUCUUCUAUUUUUAGAUUAGACUACUCGCACUCGAAGACUUGGAUCUUUUUGUAGCAGCCUCCCUUCUCUCCCUCCUCCGUAAUCUCCGAGUAGCGAGCAAGCUUUGGCGUGGCAAAGUAAAACUUAGAAUUACAUCGCUGUUUGAAAAUUGUUUCGUCAUAUUAAAUUAUUAAUUUUCGUUACAUAAAGACACAAACUAUUAAAAUAAAAAAUUAAGUUCUUUUACUUAUUAAUUGAGCGUUAUUAAUUAUACAUUGACAUAUUGAAUACACACAUUAAAAAUGCAUAUUAAUUAAAUUCUUCGAUUCCAUUAUAAAAGAUUUGUUCUAGUUAUUAAAAAAAAGUAGGCGUAUGCUCAUGCCAAUCAUAAUAGUCCGAUAAGAUUCCAUGAAAUAUGCUUGUUUAUUAUCACGUAUAAAAAUAAAAGAUUUAUAUGCCUUAUCAUGAAGAGUUGCAAAAUUACAUGAUAGCAAGAAUGCUCAACUCUAUUGUAUGUAGAAGUUUUUCUUACUCAUUUAAACCUAUUGAACAUCUGUAAACGUUGGCAGAAAAAGAUUUACAUCAAAUAUAUGUUUUAAAAUUUUUGUAUACACAUAAUUAUUAAUAAUAUAUAAAUAAUUUUAUAUGCACAUAUCUUAAAACUUUUAUUUGAUAUAAACUAAAUAUACACAUAAAUACACGCACACUUUAUUCAUAUUAGUAAAAAGUUUAUAUUAAUUUAUUUAUAUAUAGAAACAUAAUAUUAACAUUUCUCAAAUUUAAUGAAAAGAAAACAAUAAAAAUUGGUGUGACCUGUAUCAAGUAAUCAUAACAUUGCUUUUAUUUGUUGAUAAAUUAAUCCGCUACGUUUCAAUCGUCGUCUUCGGAAUCCUGACGACAUCUUUACCUGACAGUAUUAGAACCUUCAACUUCAAUCUAAUGCUGCCCGGUAAGAUGUGAACAGAUACUCCAUCCAUCGACAGCCAUAUUGCCACCGCGUGAAGAAUGAUCUUUACUUUUUGUAAGCUGAUUUUUUUCCAUCAACCAUAUUUUCUUGCAUUCUCUUCUACUACUUUAUGCAGGACACCUGACUUGGUUUGGAAUGUGGACCUUGUCAAAAUUACUAAAAAAUAAAAAAAAUA